rnacentral:rRNA from 1 species
AUUGAACGCUGGCGGCAUGCUUUACACAUGCAAGUCGAACGGCAGCGCGGGCUUCGGCCUGGCUGCGCGUGGCGCACGGGGGAGUAAUGCAUGGGAACGUGCCCAGUAGGGGGGGGUAGCACGGCGAAAGACGGAUUAAUACCGCAGACGACCUGAGGGUGAAAGCGGGGGACGGAAAGACAUCGCGCGAUGGGAGCGGCCGAUGCCGGGUUAGCUAGUUGGUGGGGUAAAGGGUUACCAAGGCGACGAUCCGCAGCUGGCCUGUGUGGGGGAGCGGCCACCUUGGAACUGGGACACGGCCCAGACUCCUACGGGAGGCAGCAGUGGGCAAUGUUGGACAAUGGGGGCAACCCUGAUCCAGCCAUGCCGCGUGCGAGACGACGGCCUUCGGGUUGUAAACCGCUUUUGUUCGGGAAGAAAUCCUUUGGGCUAAUACCCCGGGGGGAUGACGGUACCGGAAGAAUAAGCACCGGCUAACUACGUG